GUGAAUAUGCAUGUGAUGUUGAUGGCAGUGCUUUUUCAUCUUCUCCAACUGAUCAACUUGCAAGUAGCAAUUGGAAUCUAAAGAAAGUUUCAAGACUGUCCCGUUCUAUUCUACGUCUGCUUGAAACAACUAUUCCGGGAGUUACUGAGCCUAUGCUUUACAUUGGGAUGCUAUUUGGUUAUGAUCUGUUAAAAGGUUUGCCUGAUUGAUUUCUUUGCUUGAUUCACACAUUUUAUAUUUGUGGUUCUCACAUGCUUGGCUUACUACCAGAUGAUGAUAAAUGUGAUAAGUUAGUCCACAUUCAUACUUGUUUAUUGUUACAAGACUUCUUGGUUCCUGAAUGGGUUCUUUUUUCAUUUAUGUGUAAUGACUACAUAUCACUUAUGGAGAAAAAAUACAU